GAAACUCUUAUGAUGGCGGCGUGUAUGGCUGAGGGAAAAACUGUAAUCUCAAAUGCAGCUCAAGAACCAGAGAUUAUUGACCUUGCUGGCUUUCUAACAAAUUGCGGAGCAGUUGUGGAAGGAGCAGGAACAGACACACUCUAUAUUACUGGAAGGAGAAAGUUGUAUGGUUGCGAGUAUAGCAUAAUGCCAGACAGGAUUGAAGUCG
rnacentral:misc_RNA from 1 species